rnacentral:rRNA from 1 species
CCCUUAGAUGUUCUGGGCCGCACGCGCGCUACACUGAAGGGAUCAGCGUGUUUUCCCUUCCCGAGAGGGACGGGUAACCCGCUGAACCCCCUUCGUGGUAGGGAUCGGAGCUUGCAAUUGUUCUCCGUGAACCAGGAAUUCCCAGUAAGCGCAAGUCAUAAGCUUGCGUUGAUUACGUCCCUGCCCUUUGUACACACCGCCCGUCGCUACUACCGAUUGAACGUUUUAGUGAGGUAUUUAGACUGGGCCUUGGGAGGUUUCGGCCUCCCUUGUUGCUCGGAAAGACUCCCAAACUUGAGCGUUUAGAGGAAGUAAAAGUCGUAACA